UACCUUUUGUAUUAGGGGUAAAAGAAUCUUUCACUUUAAGGUUCCCGAAGUCUUAGGAUCUAUUAAAAGUAAUUUUGAUUAUUGAAUUUAAUAGAAAUUUAAUAGAUGUUAUAUGCUAACGCCUUAUGAAUAUCUGGUUAUCUUGUUUAUUAAGGGGCUUAGCUCUUUUUUUUACUUUUUACUAAAGACUUUGUUAAAUUAAUAAUAGUUUUUCAAAAGUGUAUUAACUACUCUGCGCUAAUUAUACCUAAGGUUUUACUGUAACAUUAUUUAUUUGCUAAUUAUGAUUUUUAUAUUAGUAGAAAAGAAAACUUACAUAUUUUAUUAUAUUAUAAAUUUAUUUCUUUCUUUAGAAUUAAUAAAAAAUUAAAAAGAAUGUUUAUCAAAGUCUUUUCUAAGAAAUUUCUUAGAACCCUCUGCCCCAUGAAGAUUAAAUGGCCAUGGUAAUUUGACUAUGCUAAGGUAGCGAAAUCGUUAGUGUUUUUAUUGAACCCCCGUAUGAAAGAGGCCUCUUUUCAAUUUUCUUAUAGAAUCUUUUAUUGAACUUAUUUUUUAAUUGAAAAAUAGUUAAAAGUUUAAAAAAGACUAAAAGACCCUUGGAUUUUUAUAGAAAACAAAAUCUUUCUAUGUUUAUUACUCUUUGACUUUAUUUCUAUUUUCUUGGGGCAAGAUUUUAUUUAAAUUUAAUUUAAAGUAAUUUGAGAACUAAAUUUUUACUGAAAGUCAAAAUACCCAAGGGAUAACAGCGUAAUUUCUUUGGGUAGUUCUUAUAUAUAAAGCAAUUUGCGACCUCGAUGUUGGUUUGUUUUACCUAUUUGAAGCAGAAAGUAAAAAAGGAAGUCUGUUCGACUUUUAAAAAAACACAUGAACUGAGUUCAAGUCGGCGUAAGCCAGACUGGAUUUUAUCUUUUUAUUAUAAAUGCCUUCUUAGUACGAGAGGACCAAAAGGCUUUCUUAAAG
rnacentral:rRNA from 1 species